GCAAGUCGAGCGGUAACAGGACGAACGCUUGCUUUCUUUGCUGACGAGCGGCGGACGGGUGAGUAACGCGUAGGAACCUGCCUAGUAGUGGGGGACAACAAGUGGAAACGCAUGCUAAUACCGCAGACGCCCUACGGGGGAAAGGGGGGGAUCUUCGGACCGUUCGCUAUUAGAUGAGCCGACGUAAGAUUAGCUAGUUGGUGAGGUAAUGGCUCACCAAGGCGACGAUCUUUAGCUGGUCUGAGAGGAUGAUC
rnacentral:rRNA from 1 species